UACGAAGGGGGCUAGCGUUGCUCGGAAUCACUGGGCGUAAAGGGUGCGUAGGCGGGUCUUUAAGUCAGGGGUGAAAUCCCGAAGCUCAACUCCAGAACUGCCUUUGAUACUGAAGAUCUUGAGUUCGGGAGAGGUGAGUGGAACUGCGAGUGUAGAGGUGAAAUUCGUAGAUAUUCGCAAGAACACCAGUGGCGAAGGCGGCUCACUGGCCCGAUACUGACGCUGAGGCACGAAAGCGUGGGGAGCAAACAGG
rnacentral:rRNA from 1 species